CCCUAUGGGGCGCCCGUAAAACUGGAGAUCCGCCUCGUCAGGAAAGAUGCGUCGGAGUGCAAUUGCGUUAUCACGAAUAUGAUCACCGCCGAUGGAAAUAACGAUUACUCGGUCGGAAUUAUCACGGUCAAACAGCCCCAUGAUCCGAAGGUGGAAUCUAUUCUGAAGACCUUUACCAUGGCCGUUGAGCAGAGCCCGGCGACCGUCGUCAUAACCGACAGGAACGGCUCCAUAGAGUACGUCAAUCCGAAAUUUACAAGCCUCACGGGGUAUAGCUUCAAUGAGGUCAUGGGUAUAAAUCCGAGAAUUUUAAAAUCAGGGAAUCAGGCGCCGGAGUUUUAUAGAAACCUAUGGACGAUCAUAACAUCCGGAAAGGAAUUGGCGGGAGGGC
rnacentral:rRNA from 1 species